AGAUUGAACGCUGGCGGCAUGCCUAACACAUGCAAGUCGAACGGCAGCACGGCAGUAGCAAUACUGUGGGUGGCGAGUGGCGGACGGGUGAGGAAUACGUCGGAAUCUGCCCAGUCGUGGGGGAUAACUAAUCGAAAGGUUAGCUAAUACCGCAUACGACCGAGAGGUGAAAGCGGGGGACCGCAAGGCCUCGCGCGAUUGGAUGAGCCGACGUCGGAUUAGCUAGUUGGUAGGGUAAAGGCCUACCAAGGCGACGAUCCGUAGCUGGUCUGAGAGGAUGAUCAGCCACACUGGAACUGAGACACGGUCCAGACUCCUACGGGAGCAGCAGUGGGGAAUAUUGGACAAUGGGCGCAAGCCUGAUCCAGCAAUGCCGCGUGUGUGAAGAAGGCCUUCGGGUGUAAAGCACUUUUAUCAGGAACGAAAGCGUAGAGUUAAUACCUUUACGUGCUGACGUACCUGAGGAAUAAGCACCGGACUAACUUCGUG
rnacentral:rRNA from 1 species